CUUAAAACUCUCCUCCUUGUCGAGCUUGCGACUUGCCGCCGCAACUCGGCUUCUUCCUACAUCGCACCUCUGCUUCAGCUUUCAGAUUUUCAUUCUGGGUGGCCAGGGAGAGAAGAGAAUAGUAAUGGCGGAAGGGGAGACAAAGGCGAUGGCUUAUAUACCGGAGGUUAUUUUGAAGAAAAGAAAACACAAGGAAGAAUCACUAGCACUUACAAGGAAAACCCAGUUGGAGUUUGGCAAAUAUGGAGGGAAGAAGAGGAAGGUGGAGGAUAUCAAAAGGCCUGAGCAGUUUAUUAAGGAGUUCAGAGACAAGGAAUUGGACCUAAUCCGAAUGAAACAGAGGACAAAGAGGCCAAAAUCAGCUUCACUCACGCCAAAGUCAAAGCUUCUAUUCAUCAUUCGCAUACAAGGCAAAAAUGAUAUGCACCCAAAAACAAGGAAGAUUUUGUACAACCUGAAACUAAGGAGGAUUUUUCAUGGUGUUUUCAUGAAGGCAACUGCUGGCGUAUUGGAAAUGCUACAAAGGGUGGAGCCCUAUGUUACCUUUGGAUAUCCAAAUCCUAAGAAUGUUAGUGAGCUAAUUUUCAAGAAGGGUUAUGGAAUGCUGAACAAGCAGAGAGUUCCUCUUAUUGAUAACACCAUUAUUGAACAGGCAUUAGGGAAACACGGCAUCCUUUGUUUAGAAGAUAUCGUACAUGAAAUUGCUAAUGUUGGUCCACAUUUUAAGGAGAUAACAAAUUUUUUGGGGCCUUUUGCACUCAGCAAGCCGAAGGGAGGAUUGCAGGGCAAGAGGGCAUCUUACAAGGACGGAGGA
rnacentral:misc_RNA from 1 species